UUUAUUUUGCCACCGGGUGAGAGCUUAUGCUAGUUUUGUAUCGUUAGGUCUUAGAAGAUACAAGGACUAGCAUUUUUUAAAAU
rnacentral:ncRNA from 1 species